CUGCGGUGAAGACGGUGGUCUCAGAUCCCUCUGGUGAAGGGUUGAUGAUGGACAGACUCCUGGAUUUGCGAGCUGCUGACUCCUUCUCCAUCACUCGGAUCCGGGUGUCCUGCAAAAACAGAUAUUACAUUUCUGUGGCUUUGCUUCUUACCGUCUUGGAGGACAAUGAGGGAGUGAGACUGGAAGCUGCCUUCAGCCUCGGGCAGACGCAGAGUGGUGUAGGCCAGCAGGCUGUAUUUGGCUCCGCUGGUUCAGAACGCUGGCAGCAGGCCUCUUACCCUCUGACUGCUCCCAUCAUGUCCUGCUCCUCUUUCUUCCUCUGCAGCUGUGUGAGAUAAGCCUUGAUCCUG